UCCAGACUCCUACGGGAGGCAGCAGUGGGGGAUAUUGCACAAUGGGGGGAACCCUGAUGCAGCGACGCCGCGUGGGUGAAGGAGUAUUUCGGUAUGUAAAGCCCUAUCGGCAGGGAAGAAGAAAGACGGUACCUGACUAAGAAGCCCCGGCUAACUACGUGCCAGCAGCCGCGGUAAUACGUAGGGGGCGAGCGUUAUCCGGAUUCACUGGGUGUAAAGGGAGCGUAGACGGCCAAGCAAGCCAGGGGUGAAAGCCCGGGGCCCAACCCCGGGACUGCCCUUGGAACUGCAUGGCCGGAGUGCGGGAGGGGCAGGCGGAAUUCCUGGUGUAGCGGUGAAAUGCAUAGAUAUCACGCAGAACUCCGAUUGCGAAGGCAGCGCACCGGCGCCCUACUGACGCUCAGGCACGAAAGCGUGGGGAGCAAACAGGAUUAGAUACCCCCGUAA
rnacentral:rRNA from 1 species